AAGAAAAAAGUUGUCCCGGAGAAUCGGCAAGGGGGUGCAGGUGAUCCUUAUGCGGGCCCCCCGACUCCGCGCUUCCAGAAACCUUAUGAGUAAUGAGAGGCGUCUGUCAUGCGAUUUUUUUCAAAUUUCAAAAAAUUUGAGGUCCUGAUGCGAGGAACAUCGGAGGGACCAAAUGCAUUCAGUGCUCUUUAAAACGUAUGAGACGAUAUGUCAAACGAUGCAUGAAACCCAAUUGAGUAAAUAUUUUAUUAAUCGACGAUAAAUCAGUCUAAAGGCAUGAUUUACGUUGUAGAUUAAGUACAUUAGUUUUAAAAACCAGCAUUCGCCAAACAUCAGUUUCAACUUUCAGUGCUACACCAACAAACAUAAAUCAGGUACCUAGGUAGGUAGGUACCUAAACAGCAAAUUAAAACAUUUUUAUUGCUCAAAGAGAGCAAUUGUUCACUCGGUAAUGGUGAUUUUCAAGGUAUAAUCGUGUGAUCGAUCGAUCGAUUGAUAAGAUGUUGAUAAAACUUUUACUCUUACAAUUUUUGAACGUUUUUCUAAUCAAUCUGGUAAUGCAUCCGGUUCACGGUGUAACUCCUGAUGAAUAUCGCGCUUUCAAAGGCAAGGAUCUUUCUACGCAGAGCCAAGAUACUCUUGACAGAAUAUGCAAUAAAGCAGCGCCGAAGAUAGACCGUUCUGGAACAGAUUACAAAGCUAGAAUCCAGGAAUGUACGCUGCAGCUAACAGCUGACCCUCAUGAUAAUGUUGUUGAAAAAUUAGCUCGUUGUAGUGGGUCCCAUGGUGAAUUUUUCAUUGGCAAAGGGCAAUCGCUGUAUGGUGUUUAUUAUCAUUUAUGUAGCAGUUCUCAAGGUUGGAGGUGUACUCCUAAACAAAAUGUAGCUGGAGCUGUAUAGUUGUUUUUGAAUUUUUUUUUUGUUUUUUUUUUAUACCUUAGAAUUAACAAUAUUAUAAUACAAUUAUUGUUUCUGAAAAAAAUCAAUGUAAUAAGAUAAUCUGUAAAAAAAAAUUAAAAAAAUAAAAAAAAAAAUGAA